CAUGCAGUCGAGCGGUAGCACAGAGAGCUUGCUCUCGGGUGACGAGCGGCGGACGGGUGAGUAAUGUCUGGGAAACUGCCUGAUGGAGGGGGAUAACUACUGGAAACGGUAGCUAAUACCGCAUAAUGUCGCAAGACCAAAGUGGGGGACCUUCGGGCCUCAUGCCAUCAGAUGUGCCCAGAUGGGAUUAGCUAGUAGGUGGGGUAACGGCUCACCUAGGCGACGAUCCCUAGCUGGUCUGAGAGGAUGACCAGCCACACUGGAACUGAGACACGGUCCAGACUCCUACGGGAGGCAGCAGUGGGGAAUAUUGCACAAUGGGCGCAAGCCUGAUGCAGCCAUGCCGCGUGUGUGAAGAAGGCCUUCGGGUUGUAAAGCACUUUCAGCGGGGAGGAAGGCGUUGAGGUUAAUAACCUUGUCGAUUGACGUUACCCGCAGAAGAAGCACCGGCUAACUCCGUGCCAGCAGCCGCGGUAAUACGGAGGGUGCAAGCGUUAAUCGGAAUUACUGGGCGUAAAGCGCACGCAGGCGGUCUGUCAAGUCGGAUGUGAAAUCCCCGGGCUCAACCUGGGAACUGCAUUCGAAACUGGCAGGCUAGAGUCUUGUAGAGGGGGGUAGAAUUCCAGGUGUAGCGGUGAAAUGCGUAGAGAUCUGGAGGAAUACCGGUGGCGAAGGCGGCCCCCUGGACAAAGACUGACGCUCAGGUGCGAAAGCGUGGGGAGCAAACAGGAUUAGAUACCCUGGUAGUCCACGCCGUAAACGAUGUCGAUUUGGAGGUUGUGCCCUUGAGGCGUGGCUUCCGGAGCUAACGCGUUAAAUCGACCGCCUGGGGAGUACGGCCGCAAGGUUAAAACUCAAAUGAAUUGACGGGGGCCCGCACAAGCGGUGGAGCAUGUGGUUUAAUUCGAUGCAACGCGAAGAACCUUACCUGGUCUUGACAUCCACAGAACUUUCCAGAGAUGGAUUGGUGCCUUCGGGAACUGUGAGACAGGUGCUGCAUGGCUGUCGUCAGCUCGUGUUGUGAAAUGUUGGGUUAAGUCCCGCAACGAGCGCAACCCUUAUCCUUUGUUGCCAGCGGUUCGGCCGGGAACUCAAAGGAGACUGCCAGUGAUAAACUGGAGGAAGGUGGGGAUGACGUCAAGUCAUCAUGGCCCUUACGACCAGGGCUACACACGUGCUACAAUGGCAUAUACAAAGAGAAGCGACCUCGCGAGAGCAAGCGGACCUCAUAAAGUAUGUCGUAGUCCGGAUUGGAGUCUGCAACUCGACUCCAUGAAGUCGGAAUCGCUAGUAAUCGUAGAUCAGAAUGCUACGGUGAAUACGUUCCCGGGCCUUGUACACACCGCCCGUCACACCAUGGGAGUGGGUUGCAAAAGAAGUAGGUAGCUUAACCUUCGGGAGGGCGCUACCACU
rnacentral:rRNA from 1 species